UACGGGGGGGGCAAGCGUUGUUCGGAAUUACUGGGCGUAAAGGGCUCGUAGGCGGCCAACUAAGUCAGAUGUGAAAUCCCCAGGCUUAACCUGGGAACUGCAUUCGAGACUGCAUUGCUAGAGUAUGGGAGAGGGAAGUGGAAUUUCCGGUGUAGCGGUGAAAUGCGUAGAUAUCGGAAGGAACAUCAGUGGCGAAAGCGGCAUUCUGGACCGACAUUGACGCUGAGGAGCGAAAGCCAGGGGAGCAAACGGG
rnacentral:rRNA from 1 species